CCCAUUCUUGGUCUGUGACUUGGGACUCUCCUGUCUCCCGAAGUGUAGCUUCUCACCUCGGGCCUCAGGGCUUUACACGCCAUCUAAUGCUGAUGGUUGCCGAAUGGGCAUCUCCAGCUCGGAUCCCUCCUCUGAGCUCCUGAUGUUGACAUCAGAGCAAUACGCACAGUGGUUAAGACUCUGGCUCUGCUGAGUCUUACCUCUGACAGCCUACUUACUGUGUCUAAGCGAGUAAGUCACUUAACCUCUCUGUGAACCAGCUGUCCUAGAGGUGCAAGGUGGGAGUAACAGAAUCCACCUCAGAGGGUUGAAGACUGAAUGCGUUAGUACAUGGAAGGCGUCUUAAACGGUGUCUGGCACACAGGAAGAGCGCGAUCAGUGCCAUGUACCUGCGUCACCUCUCUGCUUUCCUCUUCUCUCCUCUGCCCUGCUCUCUUUCCUUGAUCAUGCUUCUUUGUUCUCUGAACAUCAAGCACUCAUUUCUACCCAAGGACCUUUAUACCAGUUGUCCCCUCUGCCUAGACCAUACUUCUGUUCUUGGCAUGGUUGGCUCAUUCUUAGCUAAAGCUUCAACUCCUCACAAAGGUUUCCCCAACCCCUCAUUUUAAAGCAGUGACACCCCCAUUCAUUUCUCUUCUCACCAUAUUCAUUUUCUUCACAGAAGUUGCCAUGAUCACAAAUUCUGUUUAUUCAUUUGUCUUUUUCCAAAUAGUCUGUCUCCCUUAUUGGAUCAUAAGCUCUAUGAAAGUUAAGGACCUUUUCUGAUUUAUGCGUCAUUGUAUCCUGGGCCUAAAAUAGUGUCUGGCAUUCAAUUUGGUUUUAAUGAAAGAAAAUGAAAGCACUCAGUCAAACCUUUACCUUUUAAUCACUGUUACGUCUUUAAAAAAAAAAAAAGUAGUAAAAUAAACUUGACCCUUUUAAAGUAUACAAUUGAGUACUUUCACACUAUUGUGUAAACAUCAUCACCAUCUAUCUCCAGAACUUUUUCAUCUUCCCCAAUUCAAAUUCUGACCCAUUAAACAGUAACUCCCCAUUUCCCGCUGCCUCUAGGCCCUGGCAACUUUCUAUGAAUUUGACUGCUCUAGGAACCUCACACAGGAGAAAUCAAAUAAUAUUCAUCCUUUUGUGUCAGUCUUAUUGUUAUUUAGUAUCAGGUAAAUUUAUCCAUGUUGUAGCAUGUGACAGAAUCUCCUUUUUUAAGGCCAUUUAAUAUUUCAUUGAAUGUACAUACCACAUUUUGUGUAUCCAUUCAUUUUUGAUGGACAUCUGGAUUGCUCUGACCUUUUGGCCAUUGUGAAUAAUGCUGCUCAGUUUCUUCCUGGCUACUCUCCCAAACUCCACUUCACCAAUACUCUUCAUCAUCCAAAUAAAAUGUCUUCAUGCAGACUCAUUUCCCACUUUACUCAUUAUGUGUUAUAAAAAACAAAUUACUUCAGAGGACAAAUAGAAUACCAAAAUGGAAGCUUAUCGACCACUCCCUUGCUUACCAUGCUCUGGAGCAUUCUAAGAUGGGUUGUACCUUCCAUGUAAGACAUUAUAACCUCAAUGACCUGAAGGGACUAAUAAGGAACCAUUCCUGGAGACAGACAGAAUAGCAGUACUAUGUGUGCUUGGGCCUGUGCCUACAUAGGUAUAGCUCAGCCUUGUUAAUUGUCCUUGACAUUCUUUCACUGUGGCAUGAAAAACAGAUAGGACAAAGCAUGCUCUCAGAGUUCCUGAAGAGACUAUUCUCUGAGGAAGAUGGACUAUAAACAAAUUUGCCUUAGGUCCCUGCGCCAACUUCACGCGUUGCGACGCACGCACCCCCCCGGAGGCCGCGCUUCUGAGGUAACGCGCUAGGAGCCGAGUUCUUUGGUGGAGCAACGCAUGGCGGGAAUGAGGUGGUAUGAGAAAUGAAGCCAACAGGUACAGACCCGAGAAUCUUAUCUCUGGCUGCUGAAGUUGCAAAAAGUCCUGAGCAGAAUGUCCCUGUUAUACUGUUGAAGUUAAAAGUCAUUGCUGUGUUGGCUUGGAACCAGGAGAAGAUGCAGAAGAAUUUUACAAUGAAUUACUUCCAUCCGCUGCAGAAAAUUUUCUGGUUUUGGGGAGGCGAUUACAAACAUGUUUCAUCAAUGCAGCUAAGGGUGAAGAAAAAGAUGCAUUACUACACUUUUUUGAAGUUGUGACUGAUUCUCUCUUCUGGCUAUUGGGAGGCCAUGUUCAACUCAUCCAAAAUGUGGUGAUUUACUCAGAAUAGAAGGGAAAAUCCUGCAUUCAAUUUUAGAUGAAGUUGUUUUCAAACUUUCAUCAACUAGUCCAGUCAUAAGAGGUACUGCUACAAAGCUACUACUGUUGAUGGCUGAAUCCCAUCAGGAAAUUUUGAUUUUACUGAGACUAAGUCCCUGCUACAAAGGACUUAGAAGUCUACUAAAUAAACAAGAACCUGGGACAGAGUUUAGUCAAGAACUUAGACAGCUCAUUGGUCUUUUAAGCCCUAAGGCCUAUCAGGAAGUAAAAGACCAGAAACGACAUAAAGCAGCUUGCUUGAUUCAAGCUUAUUGGAAGGGUUUCCAGACUAGAAAGAGAUUGAAAAAGCUUCCAUCUGCUGUGAUUACUUUGCAGAGGAGUUUCAGAUCUAAACGAACAAAGAUGUUAAUGAAGCUAAGUAGACAGAAGGAAGAAGAGGACCACAGAUUACAGCUGCAAAUUCAAAGGCAGAGAGCCAUGAGACUUUCCCGAGAAAUACGGCUGAGUAUGCUUGAAAUAGUUCAUCCAGGUCAGGUGGAAAAACAUAACCGGGAAAUAGAAGAGAAAUCAGCACUGAUUAUCCAGAAACAUUGGAAAGGGUACAGGGAAAGGAAAAAUUUUCGUCAACAGAGGCCAUCUCUUACGGAAUAUAAAGCGGCUGUCAUACUUCAGAGAGCAGGUUCUCAGAUAUCAGAUGUGGCCAGCAGGGAGCUCCAUUCCCAAGCACAAGAACGACUGCAACACUACUUCAUGGGCAGGGCUCUAGAAGAGAGAGCUCAACAGCACAGGGAGGCACUGAUGGCUCAGAUCAGCACCAACAUUGAACAGUUGAUGAAAGCACCAAGUCUGAAGGAGGCAGAAGGAAAAGAUCCUGAGCUCUUCCUAAGUAGAUCCAGGCCUGUGGCAGCCAAAGCCAAGCAGGCCCAUCUUACCACCCUGAAACAUAUACAAGCACCCUGGUGGAAGAAGCUUGGGGAAGAAGCAGGAGAUGAUAUUGAUGUCCCAAAGGAUGAACUUAGUGUAGAAUUAGGAACUUUAUUCAUUGGUGGAACCAAACCACCUUAAGUUACCUGGAGGAAUGAAUAUCUAUAUUUAAAGAGAUUAUAUUGCUUCUACCUCUGACAUGCUAGUAGACUAGUGUUAUCCUUAACUCAUGGUUUUCCAGAAGUUCUUCUCCAAACAAGACUUGAAGGAAAUAGGCAAAGAGUUAUUUUCUACCUCAAUUUCAAUUCUUUUCUUUUUCCACACCUCCAUCCUUGGCCACACAUACAAAUUGGUGUGGCUUUUAUUAUGAAACUAAACUCAGCAUUAUAUUCUGUUGGUAAUAUAUGUUUGAAAUGUGAUAUUUCUUUUUUUGUUUCUGCUGUUUUCCAACUAAAAGGUGUUUUCUAAAUAAAUAUUUUCAACAAUUGUUCUGGAAAAAAAAAAAA